rnacentral:rRNA from 1 species
ACGGUUGAGUAACGCGUGAGAAUCUGCCCUUUAGUGAGGAAUAUCUUCGAGAAAUCGAAGUUAAUACUGCAUACGUCCUUAUAGAGAUAUAAGGAGAAAGGUGGCCUCUUUGCUACCGCUAAAGGAUGAGCUUGCGUACUAUCAGCUAGUUGGUGGGGUAAUGGCCUACCAAGGCUAUGACGGUUAACCGGCCUGAGAGGGUGUACGGUCAGACUGGAACUGAGAUACGGUCCAGACUCCUACGGGAGGCAGCAGUGGGGAAUAUUGCGCAAUGGGCGAAAGCCUGACGCAGCGACGCCGCGUGAAGGAUGAAGGCCUACGGGUUGUAAACUUCUGUUAAGCGGGAAGAAAAUUUUAUCUCUAAUACAGAUAAACAUGACGGUACCGCUAGAGAAAGCACUGCCUAAACUCGUGCCAGCAGCCGCGGUAAUACGAGUGGUGCAAGCAUUAUUCGGAAUCAUUGGGCGUAAAGGGUGCGUAGGUGGCAUAUUAAGUCUACUGUUAAAUAUCUCGGCCUAACCGAGAGACUGCGGUGGAGACUGGUAAGCUAGAGGAUGGGAGAGAGAAGUGGAAUUCUCGGAGUAGCG